GGUUAGCUGGCCAAAGACAAGCCUCGUUCGCUGAGCUUGUUCCGGUGAGAUCGAUCAGCGAACUACGCACGUAGAGGCGAUCGUUGCGGGAUCACAGGACGGGGGUUCGAUUCCCCCCGCCUCCAUCA
rnacentral:tmRNA from 1 species